CCUACGGGCGGCAGCAGUCGAGAAUCAUUCACAAUGGGGGAAACCCUGAUGGUGCGACGCCGCGUGGGGGAAUGAAGGUCUUCGGAUUGUAAACCCCUGUCAUGUGGGAGCAAAUUAAAAAGAUAGUACCACAAGAGGAAGAGACGGCUAACUCUGUGCCAGCAGCCGCGGUAAUACAGAGGUCUCAAGCGUUGUUCGGAAUCACUGGGCGUAAAGCGUGCGUAGGCUGUUUCGUAAGUCGUGUGUGAAAGGCGCGGGCUCAACCCGCGGACGGCACAUGAUACUGCGAGACUAGAGUAGUGGAGGGGGAACCGGAAUUCUCGGUGUAGCAGUGAAAUGCGUAGAUAUCGAGAGGAACACUCGUGGCGAAGGCGGGUUCCUGGACAUUAACUGACGCUGAGGCACGAAGGCCAGGGGAGCGAAAGGGAUUAGAUACCCUUGUAGUC
rnacentral:rRNA from 1 species